GCUGCCUUGGUGUAGUGGUUAACACCCCAGGCUUGCAGUUAACAGAAGGCAAAGGUUCGAUGCCUGGCGGCGGUU